AAACGGAAACGGGUUACCGCUGAGGGACGAGUGUUAACCGUAGCUACCAAAAAGUCCCAGAAAUGUGCAAAUUGUGCCAGAGAAGAGUCAUUUGAGAACCUGAAACAAUGUUCAUCAUGUAAAGAGACACUGUACUGUUCCAAAGUAUGUCAAAACCAACAUUGGACUAAACAUAAGAAAAAAUGCACUCACCUGAAAAGUGACUCUACCAGUGAAAGGUUUUCCUGCACAGAGGAAAAUGCCCACUCCUUACCAUCCCUAGCUCAAGGUUGCCACCCCCGUAAGGUCACCUCGCUAGUCGGCAGACAGUGCCUUAUUGAGUGUCACCUGAAUCGCCACCACCUCCAAGCUUUAUGGGACACAGGCUCUCAGGUAUCGGUCAUUGAUGAACGAUGGAAAGAGGAAUCUCUCCCAAACGCAAGGCUGAGAGAUGUUUCAGAAAUCCUGGACUCACCUGAUGAUCUAAGGUUGACUGCAGCAAAUGGGACUGAAAUGCCGUACCUGGGAUGGAUUGAAACAACUUUUCGUCUAGCCUCUGAAACUGACCAAACAAAGGAACUGAUCAUCCCAGUGCUGGUAAUGAAAGGCUGUCACCUAUCUCAUCCCAUCAUAGGUUUCAAUGUUAUCGAGCACAUCCUGACAAUGACCGAAAAGACUAAACGAUACAGUACAGUAAAAACAGCUUUCCCAAGCCUCAAAAGAAACAAGGUGAGAGCUUUUAUACAGGCUGUUAGCGCAGAACAGACAGAUGAAUACGCAGUGAAAACCAAGAAAGAGAAGGUUGCUGUACCAAAACACAGUAGCAUUCAGAUUGAGUGCCGUGUAGCUUCCCAGCCUUUCAAAGAUGACAUGACAAUGCUUUUCCAGCCAGACCUGAACCCGCAGUGGCCAGAUGACCUUGAGUUCUUUGACACACUAGUCAGAGUCAGUAAAGGUGUUUUUCCAGUUAUCCUGCUUGAUGUCUCUAACCCCACUGACCACGACAUUGCCCUGCUAGGACGCACAAUAAUCGGUACAGUACAAACCAUUAUGACUGUGUUACCUGCCCAAGUCUUUGAAAAAACUGUCACCUCAGCCACAGUGAAUCACACCAGCGUUCGAACCCCAUGUACUGCUACUGAACAGUGGGAUCCACCAGUAGAUUUAACUCACCUAACCGAAGAACAGAGAGAGGUUGUUAGGCAAAUGCUUAGAGAAGAGUGUCACUCCUU